rnacentral:misc_RNA from 1 species
GGCCCAUCCAGCCGCCCCUGGACCAGCAUUGGUAUAACCUAAACCUACAAACCCGGCAUCCGUUACAGUAGUAGGGUAAUAAACCCCCUGUAUAGUUCCAGGACUACCUCCAACAUCCCGGGUCAGGUUACCAUAAAACCCCUCAACUGUUCUACCAGAUGUAGUCACAGGAGCAAUACCCGAUUCUUCGGGCACUGUCCUAACAAUGUUCAACGGCCUCAAAUCUUUGGGUACUGAAUUUUGA